CUGCGUGCAGGUUGCCAGGCAAACGGCCGAGCAUUGGGGGCGGGGGCCUUUCUAACCCGUAGCGGAAGCCGCGGGUCUGCGCUGUCCGAGGAACCCCUGCUCUCGGGCGGUGGCUCUUGGAGGUGUCUCCGCCGAUUAACAUGAUGAAUGUGGUGUAAAGUCAGGUGAUCUCCUGUUGGGCUAAAAAUUGUGGGGAAUAAGACACAUGUGUCCGGACGCCCCUUUCUGCCUGAUCAAUAUUUUGGGUUAUUGAUACUUUUAUUAGAGGAGAUGGCUAGGAUACGCCAAACAGUGCACCUCCCAACGUGGCGUAUGGAGAAGGGAGUCUGGAUGGUGGGACGCGCAGCCCUCAGCCAAAAAGGCCGGUAUUUAUGAGCCCCAGGGAUAGAGAGGUGCCAGAGCUGUAUGUAGGAUCUCUGGCAGCUUCCUCGCCCUGCCUGUGCAAAGUACCGACUCAGACAUUUUUGGAGGCCUUUUCUCUAGAGGUUUGAGCCCACCGUUCAAAAAAUAGUUGCACCACGUUUAAGUAAGGAAUCAUACAUUGUUACCUUCCACACUCCAUUGGGUUAUUUGAUAGGAGAUACAGUACAAGGUCUCACUGCUAAUUAACGAAGGACCACUUUAAGGGACACAGGGAUGUCGAAUGCUUCCUUAGGCUCCUCAACAGAUGGCUCUAUAGCAGUUCUGAGCUACCAGGAGUGAAUGGGAAUGAUGAUGGAACACGACCUGCCAUCAAGGCCCUUGUGGAUCAAACACAGUGCAAGCCAGGUCACUCGUUUUCAACAAUACCUUGUACACCAAAUGAAGUCAUUACCCUCCAGCAGCAGAGUGGGUAUUCACAGCUAAUCCUGUCCUGAUAGAACUACCAUGUGGAGCUGGGGAUGAAGGAAUAGGAAGAGUCUCUGAUGCCUCAGUACCCCGCCUGCCC